AUGAAACAUGUGGCAUACUUAAAUCCGAAAGAACUUCAAAACCUAACAGACAAGAAAUAACGUAACAUUUACAGAUCUGCAGGUAAAUACGCUGUUAUGUAAAUAUUCUUAUCAGAUAUUAAUGUCCAGGAUCUCUGCAUGGUUAAAGUCUAAUUAGAUGGAAUUCCAACGGUAAAGAUAAUUUGUUAAAUGUAACACGAUAUCCUUUCAAGUCUGUUCGAAUUCUUUUGAACUGUGAAGUAAAUCAAUGUGAUAAAUCACACACCCUAGUAGGAAACAUUGGAGCCGGAAAACGCGCGUUUUCUUUCUUAACAUGAGAGUAUUGUUCAAUCAAAAGUGUUAUUUUGAAAUUUUUCAUUUCAAAUUAUUCUUAAUUAUGAUGGUUUGCGUAAAACUAUCAACAGCACCAAGCUUAGACAAUCAAUUCCAACGAAAUGACAAUAUGGAUGGAGAAGAGAUACAGAUUACACAGAAAAGAAAAAGAAAACAAAGUUAACAAGACAAAACCAGACCUGAAUUGAAAAAGCAGAAGAAAGGCAAAAAAGGAAAUACCAAGAACAUGACAACUAGACGCACCAUAUAUAGCUCAUAUGUAUAUGGCUAUAUAUGUCAAAAGAAACAGAUAUUGUAUUCUAUAAUACAG